GCCACUUUAAUCUGAUGGAAACAGUAAACGCUAGACAUGUUUUAAAUAUGGAAUUUAAUGAGUAGAAGUUACUCCAGUUUAGGGUAUUAAAUAAUGUGUGAAAAUAUAAUUUAGAUAGUCUAUUAAAUUAGGUUUAUUAGGUGCCAGCAACCGCGGUCAUACCUAAUAAUUAAGUUUACAGCGACAUUAAAUGUAUUAAAUUUCGUUUAUGAAUGUGCUAUAUAUAGUGAAAUACUAUUUCGUAUUUAUUACUUUUAAAACUUUUAAAAAAGAAAUUCAUAAUUAAAACUAGGAUUAGAGACCCUACUAUUGUGAAUUUAUUAAUUAUUUACUAAGAAGUAGAACAUAAGUUUUAAACUUAAAUGUUAUGGCGGCUAAUCAAAACAAUUAGGGGAACUUACCAUAUAAUUGAUAAUCACCAAGCAUAAUCAUACUUACUAUAAUAAUUUGUAUACCGUUGUCUUCAUGAACCCCCACGAGGGGAUUCAAAAAAAUAUUUACUUGUUUUAAGAUAAAUCAAGGUGCAGUAGACUUAGUAAGAACUAAGGUGAGUUACAUUAAAAUAUCUUUUCGGAAUAUAUAAUGAAAUAAAUUAUAAAGUUGGACUUAAAAGUACUAUUCAAAUAAACAAAUAUAUUAUGAAUAUGUGUUGCUUAGUGCA
rnacentral:rRNA from 1 species